AUAGCCACCCAUGGCUUCAUCAAGAAGACAUAGCCAAGGUUCCAUUUUAAGACCAGUUCCUCCACCAAUAAAAACCAUCGAAACACCUGACCCAAGAUCCAGUUUUGGACCACUAAUAAUUAUACUUGACCAUAAUAAGGAUACACCUCUUCCGGCUCCACCAUUAAUCGCCACCCACCGACUUAGCUCAGCUCCCAUUUUUGGACCUCGAUCUUCUUCCUACCCCUAACUAUAGCUAGCUGAUGUUAAUAUAGCAAAGCAAAUUCCAGAAUCUAUGACCGCUGUUCAUCGAUCGUCUUUUACGAAUAAUUACUAGCCUUAUUAGUGUAAUUAAUUUUACUUUAUUGGGAGAUAUAAAAUACAAUUUCACUCA